rnacentral:rRNA from 1 species
UACGUAGGGGGCAAGCGUUGUCCGGAUUUAUUGGGCGUAAAGAGCUCGUAGGUGGUUCGGUAAGUCGGAUGUGAAAUCUCCAGGCUCAACCUGGAGGGGUCAUUCGAUACUGCCGUGACUAGAGUUCGGUAGGGGAGUGUGGAAUUCCUGGUGGAGCGGUGAAGUGCGCAGAUAUCAGGAGGAACACCGGUGGCGAAGGCGGGUCUCUGGGCCGAUACUGACGCUGAGGAGCGAAAGCGUGGGGAGCGAACAGG